rnacentral:rRNA from 1 species
CCUACGGGACGCAGCAGUGAGGAAUAUUGGUCAAUGGACGCAAGUCUGAACCAGCCAUGCCGCGUGCAGGAAGACGGCUCUAUGAGUUGUAAACUGCUUUUGUACAAGGGUAAACGCAGAUACGCGUAUCUGUCUGAAAGUAUCUUACGAAUAAGGAUCGGCUAACUCCGUGCCAGCCGCCGCGGUAAUACGGAGGAUUCAAGCGUUAUCCGGAUUUAUUGGGUUUAAAGGGUGCGUAGGCGGUCGGAUAAGUUAGAGGUGAAAUCCCGAGGCUCAACUUCGGAAUUGCCUCUGAUACUGUUCGGCUAGAGAGUAGUUGCGGUAGGCGGAAUGUAUGGUGUAGCGGUGAAAUGCUUAGAGAUCAUACAGAACACCGAUUGCGAAGGCAGCUUACCAAGCUACUUCUGACGUUGAGGCACGAAAGCGUGGGGAGCAAACAGGAUUAGAUACCCUAGUAGUC